GAGUGUAAUAUGGGCCGACUUAACCACCUCACAAGGCGCCAUUUUGAUUCCAGCAUCACUUCGACAAGAACAUAAACAACAGAUAAACAUCAAAUCUGCUAACAGAACAACUGCAGAAUAGGAAUUAUGGCAACAGCAGACGAAAAAGUUGAUAUGUCAUUAGAUGACAUAAUCAGACUUAACAGUCAGUCAGGGAGAGGUGGUAGAGGUCGUAGAAAUCAAGGUCGUGGUGGGAGAUCUGAUAGAGGGGGUAGAGGAGGAAACAGACAAGACGAUGGACUCAGAGGGACAAGAUAUGGAGGAGUACAGAAAGGCAGAGGGCAAAGAAAUUUUAGAGGGUUAAAGAGAAACUUGGGUGCUAAAGCUUUACAGAGACAAUUAUCAGGAGUUAGUCCACUUAAUAGACAAAAGAAGUCUGGACAUCAACAGAACCAACAACAAAAUCGGCAAGGACAGCAGCGUUAUUUCUCACAAAAUUCAUGGCAGCAACAAAGCAGAAAAGGUCAAAAUAGACAAGUGGUACCAAAUCAGAGUCCAAGGCAAAAUAGAAUAGGCUUACAAAAUAGACAAAGACAACAAGGUCAAAACCAACGACAAAAUAGACAAAUUCAACAAGGACAAAUCCCAAGGCAAAAUAUGCAGCAAGGAUUUUAUCAGCAUGAUUCUAGACCCAACCGUGGAAGAGGGCGAGGUGGUUUACAAGGAGGAGGUGCACGUAGGCAAAAUUUAGGAGUGAGGAAUAACAUUAAUAAUAAUAUAAUGAAUUUAUCCAAGAAAAAGACGGAAGCAUUGAAAGCACUUAAAAAAGCAAGGCAAACACUGCAGAAAAUUAAUCAGCAACAAAAUCAAGGACAGCAGAUUGUUGGAUUUAAACGGAAAAACAGUUUACAUACAUCUAUGUCCUCUUUGAUUGAGCAGCCUCCAGUUAAAAGACGAAGAAGAUGGAGAAAACCAGCUGCUGUAGAUGUAGAUGACGGAAUAUUAACUGUGAAUGUUGAUAAUUCAACUGUUGAACGUGGUCCUCGUCGAGGCAGAAGAUUAAACAGACAAGACAAUCUUAGGAAACAAAUACAAGCACUAAAACCAUCAGAACAAGUGACUUAUACAAUGGAAAAACAGUUGUUCUCUCAACCAUCAGUAAGUAGGAUUUAAAACCAUGGGAACAUGUAACAUACACCAUGGAAAAACAGUUGUUCUCUCAACCAUCAACCAGUUUAAGCCUUAGUGAAAGAUUCAAACAAGAAGGAAGAAAGGUAUUCUUUUGAUGACAGAGAACUAAAUCAGAGAGAAUGAGAACAGAAUGGAGAUAACUGUUGGUGUUGACUGAUGUUUGUAGUUUUGGUGGAUGUUUAUUGGUGCUGGAAAGUUCUUUUGUCAUGAUGGACCAUGUCAGAGUGUAAAGUUUGUCUCUAAAUGGAACAUGACAACACAUGGCUGAUGUUGAAGAUCAUGGGAUAGUUCUAGGAGAGUUUUACAUAUGAUAGGCAAACUAUCAAAUCCUGCAGUAUGAGAUGACUAGUCCAGUUUUAAAUACUUAUCUUGUUUUCUUAAGUUAAACAUUAUACCAAAAAUAGGUAAAUAAAUGGAAUAGUUACCAAGGAUCCUUUGCAGACAGCAAUACAUUGUUGGUUCUCGGUAAAUUUUGUUCUUUAAGAAGUAGUUGAAUUUAUAAAUAGUUUAAGAUCAACUUUGAUUUUUUUCAUGUUUUGUUGUCCUUGAGUUUAUAAUAUUAUAUUAAUUUUCUUAUUUGUUUUGCAAAUAAGCAGAUGUAAGGUUAAGUUAAAUCUUUACAAAAUAUUUUGAUGUUAAAACUUUUAAAAUAAAUACAGGUCAAAUUUGACAGACUAUUUUCCUUGUUCUUGAAUUUUGCCUAAUGAGUACAUGGAAACUAGCUUAAUUGAAUUAUAUAUGUAGUUUUUUAUAUAUAACAUUGACCAAAUUAAAUGUCAUUUGAAAUUUGGAGAUGUUGUAAGCAAUUUAAAACUGGCUAAAUUGAAUUUUUAUAUAUUUCAAUAUUUUAGUGUUGUUGUUACUGUGUUAUUGCCUUUGAUAAGGUCAAAAAGAGGGACAAAUCUAAUUUUCUGUUCAAUAAUUUGAGUGAGCAUAUACAGGUAAAAUUCUUUAAAAAUCAGAACUGUCAUUAUGGACCAUUAAACUGGGAUCAAGUAGCCUGGUAUCCAUGAUGAGUUUUUUACUUUGACAUAUUUUGCUUUUGGUAGGUCCUGAGUUAGGCUAUUCAUUAUAUGGAGAAUUUGAUGGUUUUUUUAUAUCAUUGGUAUGGUCAAAACUGUAGGGGAAAGUUGUCUCAUUGGCAAUCACACCACAUCUUCUUAUUUUUAUAUUUUCAAUAAUCUCACACAAUUUGAAAUUAUAUGUAAGCUACAAGUUGACAAAUUAUAUGUGGUUUUCAAAAAAUUAUAAUAAAUUGAAAUAUUUUCUAUAUUUCAAUUUAUUAUAAUUGAUUUGCCAAAACCAUAUAUUGAAAGUAGUUUAUGUGCAUCUGUGUCUGGGAGCCCUUUUUAGUUUAGUUCAAUAUUUUGUUAACUUAUUCAUAUUUCCAUUUUUGAAGUUAUAUGCGAGUUGUUUCCUGUCACAUAUUUGGUCUGUUAGAAAUUAAAUUUUGUGUAAGAAAGUGUGUGGAGCAGACAAUACUAUACACUUGAUGAAAUCACUGAACUUCAUACUAAAAGUUAGUCAAAUAUUUUGUCUUAUGUAGUAUUCAUUUUCUGUUGGACCUAAUAGCAUGUAAGGUCUGGUACAUUUCUUUCUUGUUUAAAUUUGUUUAUAACUGCACUAAGGACAAUUUCUAUCCUAUGAAAGCAGAUAUGUUAGAAACUCAGGUUAUGAUAUUAAUUUUUCUGUAGUUUUUUUAUGGUUAGUCCAAUUGUUGCAGCUUGACUGUUAUUUUCAAUAUUCUUGAUUAGUUGUAUGAAUAAUAAUUGUAUAUUAAAUCUAUUGAUGUGUGAAUGAGUUGUUCAGUUCUCUCAGUUCUUGUAUAUUCUCCACUCUGUGCCUCAUACAAGGACUUAUUAUUAUCAAUUAACAUACUGGUCAAUAAGUACAAUGCUUACUGUGAGAAAGGAAAUCAUUAGGGCAGUAUGAAUUAAAUGUUAUCCCUUGACAGAUUAUUGAGAUUAUGAGCUAAUGUGUGUAAACCAAUCAUUGGAUGUUUAUAUUUGGUAUUUUAUAAUAUUUAGAAUAUAUCUUUUUUAUAUUUCACUCUGUUGUAGAAUUUAUGUUUUUAGAAGUUGUACUCAAAUGUUUUAUUGGAUACUCUUAAUUACUAGAAUUUUUGUAUUAUUAGAUGAAGUGGCAAAGACUUAGACAUACUGGUGCUUGUAUAUUAUUACAACUGAUAGUAGAACAAUGAUAUUUAGUAAUGUAUAAGCAUUGGCUCAUCUUAUUUUCAUGGAGAUUAUUUGGCCUCACUCCUCACUUAAGUCUUUGUCCAUUGAUGUGAAACCUUUUCCAUAAUUUACUUCUUUGUAAUUAAGUCACAUUAUGAAAAAAAACUAAUGAUAAGUCAGUGAUAUUUAGAGGCAGUUUAAGUUUAAGAACAUCUCAUAUCCAAUGAGACUAUUUGCCUCCCCCCCCCUUCCACAAGUCAUUGGUCAUUAACUUCGAAACUUCUGCAUACCUCAUAUGUUAAUGGGCUGUUGUUUGAUUUUCCACAUUUGCAUUAUACUAAAGAAAUAUCUGUGUCAAAAUGUAAUCAUAUCUUUUUGUUAAAGUUAUAGUUUAUCAAGUAUAUAUGUUAUUUUGUUGAUAUUGGUGAUAGGACAUCAUUAGUUAUUUUGUUAGUUGUUGGUGUGAAUGAUAUAAAGUAAUACAUUACAUGUGAGAAAUGAAAUAAAAAGUCUACUCAAAUAGAUUGUUUGAUAUUUUGAUGAAGAAACAUUGCUGAUUAUGUGUGAUUUUGAUUUUAUGAGCUAUCUUGCUUCUGUUGGAUUAAAAUAUGUUUUAUGGUAGCUAUGUAGUAUAUCUACUUAACUAUAAGUAAUGGCAGACCUUAAAUGUCAUCAUUUUUAUUUUCAAUAGAAUAUUGCAAUUGUUUACUUAAUUUAGAUGGACUUAUCUGAAAUUGUAAAAUUGUUCAAUUCAUUCACCAAACAUUUGUAUUUCAUAAGUUUUAUUCAUGCAACAUGUAUUUUGUAUAAUCUGCUCAUAAUGAAAUCACUUAACACAAUUCUUGAAGACAAUAAACAAUUUAAAAAAAAGGAUUAGAAACUCUCUUUAUAGCCCUUGAUUCAAUGGAGAUUCCAUUUGUAUGUUUGUCAAUUCAAGUACAAAUAAAAAGUUGAAUUUGCAA